CCCGAAAACUUUACUUUGCAAACUAGUGGAGCUGAGAGGCAGCUCAGACGCAGAUUCGCUUGCCUUUCCCUGAACUGCACCCAUGCCAAGCACACGAGGUCUUUCCUAGCACCACCCCCUACCUACAGCUCCACACAAAGGCGCGUGGGUGCCGGCAGGACCCCUCUCCAAAGUUGAGCGGAGAGUUGAAUUUAAAUACCCAGUGGCUCCGCUGUUGGUGUUGAACAACACAAACCCAGACAGUAUGAUGGGAAGAAAAAGUGGGAGAUUAGCACCACCAUUAAGUGACUUCAGAUCUAUAAAUAACCUUAGAAGACAAACUGGUGCCUCUGUGUUAAGGAUGGGGUCUUAUGUUGCCCAUAAUGGUCUCAAACUCCUGAACUCAAGCCAUCCUCCUGCAUCAUCCUUCCAAAGUGAUGGAAUUACAGGUUUGAGCCA